GAUGAAGAACGCAGCGAAAUGCGAUAAGUAAUGUGAAUUGCAGAAUUCAGUGAAUCAUCGAAUCUUUGAACGCAUCUUGCGCUCCUUGGUAUUCUGAGGAGCAUGCCUGUUUGAGUGUCAUUAAAUUCUCAACUACACUGACUUUGAAUUGGUGUGGCUUGGAUUUGGGGGGAAAAUUGUUGUGGGCUUUUUGUAUAGUCUGCUCCCCUGAAAUUGAUUAGCGGUACCUUUGUGGAACUGUCUACAGGUGUGAUAAUUAUCUACAUCUUAGACAUCUGCUGGAAUGCUGCUUUCUAAACCUUACUUGUAUUGACAAUCUUGACCUCGAAUCAGGUAGGACUACCCGCUGAACUUAAGCAUAUCAAUAAGCGGAGGA
rnacentral:misc_RNA from 1 species